rnacentral:rRNA from 1 species
AAUCAACGCUGGCGGCGUGCCUCAGACAUGCAAGUCGAACGAGAAAGUUCCCUUCGGGGAGCGAGUAAAGUGGCGCACGGGUGAGUAACACGUAGGUAAUCUACCUUCGGGUGGGGAAUAACCCAGGGAAACUUGGGCUAACACCGCAUAAUGCAGCGGCACCACAUGGUGACAGUUGUCAAAGCGGGGGAUUUUAGGACCUCGCGCCUGAAGAGGAGCCUGCGGCGGAUUAGCUUGNGGUAAGGUAACGGCUUACCAAGGCGACGAUCCGUAGCCGGCCUGAGAGGGCGGGUCGGCCACACUGACACUGACAUACGGGCCAGACUCCUACGGGAGGCAGCAGUCGGGAAUUUUGGGCAAUGGGCGAAAGCCUGACCCAGCAACGCCGCGUGAAGGAUGAAAUCCCUCGGGAUGUAAACUUCGCAAGAAUGGGAAGAAUUAGUAGGGGUUAAUA